AUUGCACUCUGCCCCUCAUACCAGUCCUGGGCGAUAUAUUGGCCAGGACUGGUAUGAGGGGGCUGAGUGCGAU